rnacentral:rRNA from 1 species
AACGAACGCUGGCGGUAUGCUUAACACAUGCAAGUCGAACGAACUUGAUUUUAGCUUGCUAAGAUCAAGUUAGUGGCAAACGGGUGAGUAACACGUGGGAAUCUUCCCAGUAGUACAGAAUAACGGUUAGAAAUGACCGCUAAUACUGUAUAAUAUCGAGAGAUUAAAGAUUUAUCGCUACUGGAUGAGCCCGCGUCAGAUUAGGUAGUUGGUGGGGUAAUGGCCUACCAAGCCCAAGAUCUGUAGCUGGGCUGAGAGGAUGAUCAGCACACUUGAACUGAGACGCGGUCCGGACUCCUACGGAAGGCGUCAGUGAGGAAUAUUGGACAAUGGGGUAAAGCCUGAUCCCGCCAUACCGCGUGAGUGAACAAGGCCUUAGGGAUGUAAAGCAAUUUCAGUAGGGAAAAUGAUGAUGGUACCUACAGAAGAAGUUCCGGCUAACUCCGUGCCAGCAGCCGCCGUAA